rnacentral:rRNA from 1 species
GACGAACGCUGGCGGCGUGCUUAACACAUGCAAGUCGCGGGGGGGUGAGCAAUCACUCACCGGCGAACGGGUGCGUAACACGUGAGCGACCUGCCCACUUGUGGGGGUAUAGCCGGCCCAACGGGCCGGGUAAUCCCGCAUACGCUUCUCUGGCCGCAUGGCCGGUGGAGGAAAGCCGUAAGGCGCAAGUGGAGGGGCUCGCGGCCUAUCAGCUAGUUGGCGGGGUAACGGCCCACCAAGGCGAUGACGGGUAGCUGGUCUGAGAGGAUGGCCAGCCACAUUGGGACUGAGAUACGGCCCAGACUCCUACGGGAGGCAGCAGUGGGGAAUCUUGCGCAAUGGUCGAAGACUGACGCAGCGACGCCGCGU